rnacentral:rRNA from 1 species
UACGUAGGGGGCAAGCGUUGUCCGGAAUCAUUGGGCGUAAAGAGCGUGUAGGCGGCCCGGUAAGUCCGCUGUGAAAGUCGGGGGCUCAACCCUCGAAUGCCGGUGGAUACUGUCGGGCUAGAGUGCGGAAGAGGCGAGUGGAAGUUCCUGGUGUAGCGGUGGAAAUGACGCCAGAUAUCAGGAGGAACACCGAUUGCGAAGGCAGCUCGCUGGGACGUAACUGACGCUGAGACGCGAAAGCGUGGGGAGCAAACAGG